UGCAGUCGAGCGGUAGAGAGAAGCUUGCUUCUCUUGAGAGCGGCGGACGGGUGAGUAAUGCCUAGGAAUCUGCCUGGUAGUGGGGGAUAACGCUCGGAAACGGACGCUAAUACCGCAUACGUCCUACGGGAGAAAGCAGGGGACCUUCGGGCCUUGCGCUAUCAGAUGAGCCUAGGUCGGAUUAGCUAGUUGGUGAGGUAAUGGCUCACCAAGGCGACGAUCCGUAACUGGUCUGAGAGGAUGAUCAGUCACACUGGAACUGAGACACGGUCCAGACUCCUACGGGAGGCAGCAGUGGGGAAUAUUGGACAAUGGGCGAAAGCCUGAUCCAGCCAUGCCGCGUGUGUGAAGAAGGUCUUCGGAUUGUAAAGCACUUUAAGUUGGGAGGAAGGGCAGUAACCUAAUACGUUAUUGUUUUGACGUUACCGACAGAAUAAGCACCGGCUAACUCUGUGCCAGCAGCCGCGGUAAUACAGAGGGUGCAAGCGUUAAUCGGAAUUACUGGGCGUAAAGCGCGCGUAGGUGGUUUGUUAAGUUGAAUGUGAAAUCCCCGGGCUCAACCUGGGAACUGCAUCCAAAACUGGCAAGCUAGAGUAGGGCAGAGGGUGGUGGAAUUUCCUGUGUAGCGGUGAAAUGCGUAGAUAUAGGAAGGAACACCAGUGGCGAAGGCGACCACCUGGGCUCAUACUGACACUGAGGUGCGAAAGCGUGGGGAGCAAACAGGAUUAGAUACCCUGGUAGUCCACGCCGUAAACGAUGUCAACUAGCCGUUGGAAUCCUUGAGAUUUUAGUGGCGCAGCUAACGCAUUAAGUUGACCGCCUGGGGAGUACGGCCGCAAGGUUAAAACUCAAAUGAAUUGACGGGGGCCCGCACAAGCGGUGGAGCAUGUGGUUUAAUUCG
rnacentral:rRNA from 1 species